UAGAGGCGGCAGAGAUAGGAAUGGAGCCAAGGCUGCGGAGGCAGAAGGCGGGAGGC
rnacentral:sRNA from 1 species